GUGGUUCAGAAGAAAAGAGAAAAGAGUUGGUGGCCUCAAGUAAGAAAUUUAGGGGCCUGCGUUGUCUUCCGGUGUCCGAGGUGUGUAACUGAAGAAGCUUAAAUCCCCUGGAGACCUGGAGGCCCUCCUGGAGAAAAACAUUCUUAACAUGAGUUAUAUCGCCUGAACCUGUUGUUUGGUAGAGUUCCCGUGUAGGGACUUAUCCCCAUGGGAGCUACAUCACCACCAGUUGGUCCACCGGGGCAGUCGUCAAUAUCAGACUUUUCGGCGCCAAUCAACUUUCUUUUUUUUUUUUCCUUCUCGCCAAGCAUUGUAAAGCGAAUAUAUACAUGAUCAUCUCACAGUCAUUAGCUCAGUCCUCCAGAACUUCAUCGGAAGCUUCACCGUCUGCGAGCGCGUGUAACAAACAAAGAUGGCUGCAAAGAUGACUACCGAAGUUACAGUAGAGGUUCACCAUAUGCCAAUUUAUCCUGGUAAGCAAUCCGUGAUCUUUUUAACCUGAAAGUUGUUCUAUUUUUAUUCUAGAUUUUUAAGUGUAACUUUCUGUAUCUUUAAAGUCAGCGCCGAUGAGUUUGAAGGAAUAACCCUCACGCAAACAGACAUUGAUCUGUUAGCCAGGGCUGAAAGAUUGGUAUCCGAAGACAACCAAGAAACUGAAAAAGCAGUAAAAGCAUUGCUGUGUUCUGAAACCCCACCCCCCGUGCAGGGGACAAAUUGCUGUGUAACUGAAAUUGGUGAAAUUGAGAUUGAGAGCAGACCCUCGGCACUUCAACAUGGGACUGACUCAAGUAAGCAGACGAACAAACUCUCCAGAAGACGUGUGAGACAGCCAGGAGGACCGAAGUCGACUGUACAAGGUAAUAUAUUUAUCUGUGAUUAGAAGUAUAUACAAAAUAUGUGCCGUUUUGAUGAUUUGUAUUUUAACGAUUUUCCCCUCUGUCUAAACAGAACCAUCAAAACAGAACCUUCAAACGUGCGCCUCUCUGAGCACUGUGACUCCCACGGCAGCUCCACUCUCCCGUGAACCUUCUGCCCCUGCGAGGAGACGUAGAAUACGGCAAGCGUGUACCACUCUGACCCCUGUACUUACAGCGGGACCCACGGCAGCUCCACUCUCGCUUUCACCAGAUCCUUUCGAACCUGCGAGGCCGAUAAGGAGACGUAGGAACCAGAGACACAAGUCUAACAUU
rnacentral:lncRNA from 1 species